AUUGGUGUUAGAGGAUCUGGAAAUGGUUUCCAAGCUGUGCUCUGAGGAUCUGAUCUGUGGUGGGACUUCGAGCUUCCCAUCCCUUCCCUGCAUCCCAUUCUCUGACCCUGGGCUUCUAGAAAGACAUGGUUGAACAAGGAUUCUAUGGUUAAAAAAGAAAUUUGAAAAUUGCUGACACAAAAGGAUGGGUACACUGCUAUCCGUCAGAGUCCAAGAUUCCUUCAGUGGUGCAUAAUCUCCCCAGUCUUGAGGGGGCUCCCAGAAGAGUGCUUGGAAUCAUUAUUUUCCAUGCAGAUGACGUCAUGCCUUGUAAAAGUCAAAAUAAAGUCCUUCUAUUGGUUCCCCUGA